GACCUCGGAUCAGAAUACCCGCUGAACUU
rnacentral:rRNA from 1 species